UGGGGAAUUUUGCACAAUGGGGGAAACCCUGAUGCAGCGACGCCGCGUGAUUUAGAAGGCCUUCGGGUUGUAAAAAUCUUUUCUAUGGGAAGAAAAUGACAGUAUCAUAGGAAUAAGGACCGGCUAAUUACGUGCCAGCAGCCGCGGUAAUACGUAAGGUCCGAGCGUUGUCCGGAAUCAUUGGGCGUAAAGGGUACGUAGGCGGGUAAGCAAGUUAGAAGUGAAAUCAUAUAGCUCAACUAUAGUAAGCUUUUAAAACUGCUCAUCUUGAGGUAUGGAAGGGAAAGUGGAAUUCCUAGUGUGGCGGUGAAAUGCGCAGAUAUUAGGAGGAAUACCGGUGGCGAGGGCGACUUUCUGGCCAUAACCUGACGCUGAGGUACGAAAGAGUGGGUAGCAAACAGG
rnacentral:rRNA from 1 species